rnacentral:rRNA from 1 species
UACGAAGGGGGCUAGCGUUGCUCGGAAUUACUGGGCGUAAAGGGCGCGUAGGCGGACAGUUUAGUCAGAGGUUAAAGCCCAGGGCUCAACCUUGGAAUCGCCUUUGAUACUGGCUGUCUUGAGUACGGGAGAGGUGUGUGGAACUCCGAGUGUAGAGGUGAAAUUCGUAGAUAUUCGGAAGAACACCAGUGGCGAAGGCGACACACUGGCCCGUUACUGACGCUGAGGCGCGAAAGCGUGGGGAGCAAACGGG